CACACACAUUUACCACACUUGGCUCGCAUAGACUGGAAGGAGAGGUGCUCUUCCCAAGCAAAGGGGCCGACCUGCAGAAAGCACACAGAGCCCACAUGCUGGAAGGAAAAAGCCACCUUCCAGCAUCCCUUGACCGCCACUCGUGUGCAUGGCAGAUGUCCUUCUGCAAUCUCACACAAGGCGAGUUGACUGAUAAGAGUUUUAAAGUCUCUCUGAGUCAUCUCCCCUCUGCAAGAUCGGCACCCAUAUCAUGAUGCAACUCCUAAGAACAGGUCCACAGGGACACAGUCCUGAACAGUGAAACGAGAAAGGCUCAGCAGGAACCCUUCACUGAGAACAUAUUCACCCAGGCGCAGUCACUGCCAGCCUGGCCUCAGAGGAGCAAAAGCCAGCAAAUGUAAACCCUGCUUCACGAGGUGGGACCUCUGGAUGCUGUCCCCUGCUUCCUGAAGUUGAGGACUGACUGUGUGCCACAGGCAGAGGGAGACUAGAUGCAGGUGACAUUUCUUAGAGAUGGCCCUGCUUUAACGGGACCUGUUCAGCAUGCCUUUCCUUCCUUUCUCUUCCUCCCUCUCUCUUUUCCAUCUUCUCUCCUUUGCUUCCCUUGUUCUUGAGAAAAGGGUCUUGCUAUGUAGCCCAGGCUGGUCUGGAACUUACUGUGUAGCUCAAGCUGGCCUUGAAAACUUUUGGCAAGCCUCCUGCCCCAGUUUCUCAUCCAGAUUUCCAGAAACAUCAACAAACCAAGGAAGAAGCAUUGGAGGAAAAAUCAACUCCAGUGUGUGGCUGUGUGUUGUGUCUAUGUGUCUAUGUGUGUUUGUGUG